CUCAAAAGGUCUCUUAGCUAUUUCUCGCCCUCCUUGUACCCGUUCUCUCAAUUGUCUUUUAUUUACCUUUUGACAGGUUAAACACCCUUCCAGAAUUCUUUUUGCUAUUCCAUAAGCUCCCACACAGACAAAUUUGUUUUCAAAUUGAUCCACUAAAGCUUGUGUCCCCCAGUGUGUCUGUUCAUGUAAUUUCCUCAUUAUUCUCUGAGCGAGCCCCUUCGGAAGUACUUCUCGACCAUCUGCUAAUGACCAUCUAUUAUUUUCUUCUUUUGCUCCAGAUUGUUGCAAUUUGUCUUUCUCUUGGUCACUGAAACUUUUCGGGACUUCUCUGUCCUCUGGCCCUGAACUAGCCAUUACUAAUAAAGCUGCCCUCUUUGCCUCUUCAUCGGCCAGAUUGUUGCCUCUGACAGUAGCUUUUAACCCCUUUUGAUGCCCUUUAACGUAUACGACUGCAAUCUGCUUUGGCUUUCUCAAAGCCUUUAAAAUUUCUCGUAUUAUAGUUUCAUGAAUAAGUCCUUUACCUUGGGUAUUAAUCAAUCCUCUUUCUUCCCAUAUCUUGCCGAAAGUGUGAACUACCCCAAAAGCAUACUUAGAAUCUGUGAAUAUAGUGCCUGCCUUUCCGUCUAAUAAUUGUAACGCUCUCAACAGCGCAUAUAACUCACAAGCCUGGGCUGAUCACGCCCUGUCUACAGGUCCAGAUUCCUUGACCUGAAAAGUCGCUCCAUCUAUUACUGCAUAUCCUGACUUUCGAUUUCCAUUAACUACUCUAGAUGAGCCGUCAAUAUAUAAUUUCUCGCCUUCACUCAGUUCUUCUUCCUCUAAAUCUUCCCUAAUUUUUGUCUGAAGAUUUAUUACUUGUAAGCAGUCAUGUACCAAAUCUCCCUUAGGCUCUCCGUAUAAGAAGUGGGCUGGAUUUUGCAGAUUCGUUACUUCCAGCUCCAAUUUGGAAUGCCUUCACACACGCACAUUCAUUUCAAUCACUUCCCUCCUUUUGUGACUCGCCCCCUAGCGGGGAUAUGAGAACUGCACUACUAGGAGGUCCCACUCACUUCGUCCUACUGGACGUCUCAGUUAUUCACACUCUGGGAUCCCCUCCCAA